UACGAAGGGGGCUAGCGUUGUUCGGAAUCACUGGGCGUAAAGGGCGCGUAGGCGGCUUUGUAAGUCGGGGGUGAAAGCCUGUGGCUCAACCACAGAAUUGCCUUCGAUACUGCGAGGCUUGAGAUCGGAAGAGGUUAGUGGAACUGCGAGUGUAGAGGUGAAAUUCGUAGAUAUUCGCAAGAACACCAGUGGCGAAGGCGGCUGACUGGUCCGGAUCUGACGCUGAGGCGCGAAAGCGUGGGGAGCAAACAGG
rnacentral:rRNA from 1 species